UACGGAGGGAGCUAGCGUUGUUCGGAAUUACUGGGCGUAAAGCGCACGUAGGCGGCUUGUUAAGUCGGAUGUGAAAGCCCUCGGCUCAACCGAGGAAGUGCAUACGAAACUGGCGAGCUUGAAUAUGGAAGAGGGUCGCGGAAUUCCCGGUGUAGAGGUGAAAUUCGUAGAUAUCGGGAGGAACACCAGUGGCGAAGGCGGCGACCUGGGCCAAUAUUGACGCUGAGGUGGCGAAAGCGGUGGGGAGCAAACAGGAUUAGAAACCCU
rnacentral:rRNA from 1 species